GUCAGGAUAGCUCAGUUGGUAGAGCAGAGACUGAAA
rnacentral:tRNA from 1 species